CCAUAAGAUAAAGCUCAUUUGAAUUUCCAAGCUCCAUAGCAGCAGCUAUGUGUACUAAGGUACAUUUCAAAUGAAAAGGGUCUUUCUCAAGCAGGCUGUGAAAGAGAAGAUAAAGCUCAGAUGACCUGAUACAUCUAAGGCCAAAAGAUCAGUAUCAUUUUUUAGUGUAUGCUUGAUAGAUGCGCUAGAAGGAUUGCUAUUGCAGCUUUCUUUUUCAACUUCUCUGAACUUGGCUUCUACAACACUCUUUUUGUCAUACUGAGACCAGGGGACUAAGCAUGAGUAGAAUGAAGAGAGCCACCCAUCUUCUGGACCGAAUUGCAAGGAGGACAGCAGCCUUGUUUCUGCAAUUCAGUAGCAAAUAUACAGGGUUAAUUUUAAUUUCAUUUGGUCAAUGAAGCGAAUGCUGGAAUAGUACAGCAUAGAGGAAUUCUCAACAAUCAACACAUUAGCAAUAAAUACUGCAAUCCAAAGCCUGGGGAACAAUGAAGAUACAACCAUCAUUCAUACUUCCAAUCCAAAUCAGUGAAAAUGAUGUGCAAAACUAAUGCUGCCAAAGAUUCUUACUACACGGAGUUAUAACCCUGUUAUCAAAGGAAUCUAAUGCUGCCAAAGAUCUUCCAUCUUUUAUUCCUGUUUAACGGAUAGUCUAUGUAUAUAUAUAUAUAUAUAUCGGUUACUUGCUAACAAGGUUGAAAAUU